UAACUCGACCACCAGAAUUACUUGAUAGCUGCUUAAGUCGACGUUUAAUAGCUACUACGUCCUUAUCUUUAGGGAGAUUAUAGACUAGCAGGUCGAAGUUUUCUGCAACCUGAAAAAUAAAGUUAAAAAGGUCACUUAGAUCUGCAGCAAAAUCAAUAUCACCGGAUAUUAAAAUUAUAGCUGCAGGACUACCAUGUGUAUCAGCGAAUCUUCUUAUGGAUUGUCGGAGUUUUUCAUCAGCAGCAUUUUUACAACUUGAUGCGACGUGUAUUAAAUUGACCUAAUGAAUAGUAAUAAAAAUAUUGUACACACGUCUUUUUAUAGUCAAAUAUAAAUUUAUUAUCCUUAAAUAAAUAAAUGAAUUACCUGAGCAUCGUUCAGCUCUUGGAUAA